GAUGAACGCUGGCGGCGUGCCUAAUACAUGCAAGUCGAGCGAACGGACGAGAAGCUUUCUUUUAUGAUUUUAUCGGCGGACGGGUGAGUAACACGUGGAUAAACUACCUCUAAGACUGGGAUAACUUCGGGAAACCGGAGCUAAUACCGGAUAAUAUUUUGAACCGCAUGGUUCAAAAGUGAAAGACGGUCUUGCUGUCACUUAUAGAUGGAUCCGCGCUGCAUUAGCUAGUUGGUAAGGUAACGGCUUACCAAGGCAACGAUGCAUAGACGACCUGAGAGGGUGAUCGGACACACUGUAAGUGAGGAACGGUCCAGACUCCUACGGUAGGAAGCAGUAGGGAAUCUUCCGCAAUGGGCGAGAGCCUGACAGAGCACCGCGGCGGGAGUGAUGAAGGUCUUCGGAUCGUAAAACUCUGUUAUUAGGGAAGAACAUAUGUGUAAGUAACUGUGCACAUAUUGACGGUACCGAAUCAGAAAGCCACGGCUAACUACGUG
rnacentral:rRNA from 1 species